rnacentral:rRNA from 1 species
GAUGAACGCUGACAGAAUGCUUAACACAUGCAAGUCGAUGGGGAAGUGGUGCUUGCACCAUGGUAACCAUGGCGGACGGGUGAGUAACGCGUAAGGAACUUGCCUGCGGGACUGGGAUAACAGCAGGAAACUGCUGAUAAUACCGGAUAAGGUCAUUAAGCUGCAUAGCUUAGUGAUGAAAGGAGACGCCUGCGGAGAGCCUUGCGUCCUAUUAGCUAGUUGGAGGGGUAACGGCCCACCAAGGCGAAGAUAGGUAGCCGGCCUGAGAGGGUGGACGGCCACAAGGGGGCUGAGAUACGGCCCUUACUCCUACGGGAGGCAGCAGUGGGGAAUAUUGGACAAUGGGGGCAACCCUGAUCCAGCAAUUCUGUGUGCACGAAGACGGUUUUCGGAUUGUAAAGUGCUUUCAGCAGGGAAGAAGGAAGUGACGGUACCUGCAGAAGAAGCGACGGCUAAAUACGUG